rnacentral:pre_miRNA from 1 species
UUUAUAUGACGCCGUUGACUUUUAGGUCUGCGUUUAACCUUUCGUCUUAUUAAAAAAUAUAUAAUUAUUAAUUAUUUUGUUAUAAUAUGAUUUAUUAUUAUAGGAACUUUAGGUAUGCUUUAUAAUUUCGUAUAUUUAGAUAUAAAUUUUGAAUAAGACGAACGGUUAAACGCAGAUUCAAAAGUCAACGGUGUCAUAUAAA